UUUUCCCUGCUGUGUUCGUGAUGCAUGGUGUUAUUUUGUUUCAGUAUCUAUUUAACGGGAGUUCUAAAAACUUUGAAUGAGGAUUGCUUGCUGUCUUUAUGACAGCGAAGCAGAGAAUCAUUCAAGGGAACAUCCAUAUUGGCAAUAGGUUUCAAGAUCUCAUGACACACGGCAAUGGCGGGGUUAUA
rnacentral:other from 1 species